rnacentral:rRNA from 1 species
AUUGAACGCUGGCGGCAUGCCUUACACAUGCGAGUCGAACGGCAGCAUGAUCUAGCUUGCUCGAUUGAUGGCGAGUGGCGAACGGGUGAGUAAUACAUCGGAACGUGCCCUGUAGUGGGGGAUAACUAGUCGAAAGAUUAGCUAAUACCGCAUACGACCUGAGGGUGAAAGUGGGGGACCGCAAGGCCUCAUGCUAUAGGAGCGGCCGAUGUCUGAUUAGCUAGUUGGUGAGGUAAAGGCUCACCAAGGCGACGAUCAGUAGCUGGUCUGAGAGGACGAUCAGCCACACUGGGACUGAGACACGGCCCAGACUCCUACGGGAGGCAGCAGUGGGGAAUUUUGGACAAUGGGCGAAAGCCUGAUCCAGCAAUGCCGCGUGUGUGAAGAAGGCCUUCGGGUUGUAAAGCACUUUUGUCCGGAAAGAAAUGGCUCUGGUUAAUACCUGGGGUCGAUGACGGUACCGGAAGAAUAAGGACCGGCUAACUACGUG